GGGCCCCGCGCGCCCCGGCCAGGAAGGGAAUCCGCAGACCUGCGAGAGCGGAGGCUUCCGGGCCAUUUCUGCCUGGCCAGAGGAGACUUGGAGCGGGGCGCAACUGAGGGGUUUGGGAACCUGAAGACCACAGGAAAAGCAUCCCAGCCACCCUUCAUUCAUUCCUUUACUCAUCCGUUCAAUCGCUUAUCGGAACCAAUAUUUAUGAAGUACCUGCUGUGUGCCAGGCACAGUGCUAGGUGCUAGACAUGGAAAUACAUCCUCGAGGAUGCAAAUCCCUCCUCUCUGGGGCUUAUAUUCUGAUCCGAAGCAAACUGAGAGCAUGGAAACCGAUAAAUAGGACACUGUAACUGUGAUAGGAUUGUGAAUGAACCAUUCAUGGAGCAGCAGGGAAUGGCCAGGAAGGACCCUCUGAACUGGUCACAAUUCAACAGAGAUCUGAAUGACGCUUAGGAGGUAGUGGGAACUGCAUGUACAAAGGCCCUGGGCACACUACAAAUAAAUGAUAAAUCCCCCUUUA